rnacentral:rRNA from 1 species
GAUGAACGCUGGCGGCGUGCCUAAUACAUGCAAGUCGAGCGAACAGACGAGGAGCUUGCUCCUCUGACGUUAGCGGCGGACGGGUGAGUAACGCGUGGAUAACCUACCUAUAAGACUGGGAUAACUUCGGGAAACCGGAGCUAAUACCGGAUAAUAUAUUGAACCGCAUGGUUCAAUAGUGAAAGACGGUUUUGCUGUCACUUAUAGAUGGAUCCGCGCCGCAUUAGCUAGUUGGUAAGGUAACGGCUUACCAAGGCAACGAUGCGUAGCCGACCUGAGAGGGUGAUCGGCCACACUGGAACUGAGACACGGUCCAGACUCCUACGGGAGGCAGCAGUAGGGAAUCUUCCGCAAAGGGCGAAAGCCUAACGGAGCAACGCCGCGUGAGUGAUGAAGGUCUUCGGAUCGUAAAACUCUGUUAUUAGGGAAGAACAAAUGUGUAAGUAACUAUGCACGUCUUGACGGUACCUAACCAGAAAGCCACGGCUAACUACGUG